AAAGGCACAAGGGAGCUUGACUGCGAGACCUACAAGUCGAGCAGGGACGAAAGUCGGGCUUAGUGAUCCGGUGGUUCCGCAUGGAAGGGCCAUCGCUCAACGGAUAAAAGCUACCCCGGGGAUAACAGGCUUAUCUCCCCCAAGAGUCCACAUCGACGGGGAGGUUUGGCACCUCGAUGUCGGCUCAUCGCAUCCUGGGGCUGUAGUCGGUCCCAAGGGUUGGGCUGUUCGCCCAUUAAAGCGGUACGCGAGCUGGGUUCAGAACGUCGUGAGACAGUUCGGUCCCUAUCCGUCGUGGGCGCAGGAAAUUUGAGAGGAGCUGUCCUUAGUACGAGAGGACCGGGAUGGACGCACCGCUGGUGUACCAGUUGUCUUGCCAAAGGCAUAGCUGGGUAGCUAUGUGCGGAAGGGAUAAGUGCUGAAAGCAUCUAAGCAUGAAGCCCCCCUCAAGAUGAGAUUUCCCUGUUACUUUUUGUAACGUAAGAUCCCUGAAAGAUGAUCAGGUUGAUAGGUCAGAGGUGGAAGCGCGGUGACGUGUGGAGCUGACUGAUACUAAUCGAUCGAGGACUUAACCUA
rnacentral:ncRNA from 1 species